rnacentral:ribozyme from 1 species
UGCAUUGAGGAAUAGCGGGGAACAUAUUAUAGAAUAUCAAUUUUUUUAUUUUUAUUUUUUAUUGAUACAAAAAAAAAAGAAUAAAACCAAGACUAUUCAUUCAUACUGCCAGUUUGGAAGGUA